GUGCUCACUUUGGCAGCACAUAUACUAAAAUUGAAAUGAUACAGAGAAGAUUAACAUGGUCCCUGUACAAGCAGGAUAUUCAAAUUUAUGAAGUGGUCAACAUUUUU
ensembl:snRNA U6 U6 spliceosomal RNA